ACGCGGUGCGUGUGUGUGCGCGAGUGGACGCGUCGGACUCGGCCCGUGGCAGGCUCGGGCGCGUGUGUGCGUGACCGAGGGUGUGUGCGUGCGUGCAUGGGUUUGUUAGCGAGGCGUACGGAUGUAUGACCGCGUCAGGCGCUGGACCCAGUCAUGCCCGGAGCGCGUGUGUGCGCGUAGGGGGCGCGAGCUGCGGAGCGCGGGACAUGGGGGUUGCGAGGUUGUGUGCGCGGCAUGGCGUGUCUGAGCACACAUGUAUAAAGCCCACUCCUCGCCUGUGUACUUGCCGCACAGAUCGAGUUCAAGCUCGAGGUCAAAAAACAGAAAACACCGUUCGUGCGGCAGGGUGUUUGAGCACCCGGAAAUUCUUUGUGUCCUUCUUCUUCUUCUCCGGCCGUGUCUCCGGUGAUCACCGUCGUGUGCUAGGGCCAGCUGCAGCAACACGUGUGCCUGUGAUAAGUUAGGGACGUUGACUCGGGGACCAGAAUCUAUGACUAAACGGUCCGAGCCAUCCACUCCCGUCUGAUCCACGAGCAGGCUACCUGACGGAGUUAUCUGAGUCGUGGGCCAUAUCCUGUUGCUGGAAAUAAUAACGAUGACCAUAUACCUGCUGCUAUACCGAUGGCAACGCUGAUCACGAGGAGGACGAAGUGGUGAAGACACAGACAUAGGGACAGAAUGCAUUACAAAUUCGACAGCAAACAACGACGGGAGAACAUCUCUGGAAAAAAAAUCCACGAUAUGAUCUCUACACUCUGAUAGCCGGUGUUGAAAGUUGAUGAUGGAGAGCGACAUCACCAGCGCAGACAACACAUUCAUCACCACCACUGGCAAAGCUCUAUCCAGGCUGCAGGGUGCCGACGCAGGUUCAUCUCCAUUGUGCACAACCAGGGAGUCCACCGGCGGGCAGUGGGCACCGGGGAGCCGGCGGCCAGUGCUCCGUCAGGCAAUUAGUGUAGCAGCAAGUGGCCUUGCACACCUGCUUCAUGCCCCUGUCUCACUGCUCGCCGUAAUACACUUGCCUCCUACUCGUUGUCGCCGUUCGCAACCUGUAGUACCAGCCAACAAUUAAGGCCUCCUUUGGUUUAUAGAAAUGUCAUAGGAUUUCUAUAGGAUAGGAUUUGCAUAGGAAAAUUUUCUUUGAGGCUCUUUGGUUUGUAGGAAUGGAUCCUUCACAUUUUGGAGGAAAAAAACAUUAGCUAAGAUUCAAUGGAAAAAUUCUUAUCCUAUGCAUUAAAUAACAUCUCUUUCUUUAUAGGAAUUGAGAUGCAUGUCAUCUCACUUCCUAUGAUUUUCCUAUUCCUACAACAUUUUUAUUCUAUGAACCAAAGGAGGCCUAAGAUAUAUAUGAACACGUACACAAGCAACCACGCACCACAUCAUCUACACACCCGGGACAACAACUUCUACACACUCUAAAUUGACGACGUAGCAGCACAGAAAACAGUCUGUAGUCACAUUUGAUUAAACACUUUGCUUGCCUCGAAAUAGGAAUAUCAUGGAGGGGCAGUGGGAUCCAGGGGAGGUGAGCAAGAGAGACACACCAGGCGGCGAGCAGGAAACACACGUCGACGAGGUGGCUGGGUAGCCAUCGUCGGCAAGGACUGGACGCGCGGGAUGGACGCCGACGAGCAGCUCGUCUGUCCUCCCCGCAUUGUCGACGAGCAGCUCGUCCAUGCUGCCCCCAGCAAGCGU